GGAGCAGGACCUGUGGCAGAGCCAGGGGUUGAGCAGUGAGUACCCCCUUGGCACAUUGGAAAGUUGGCACCUGUAGAUCCAGCCCAGGAGUCAGUGCUUAUACAAGGAGCCGUGUAUUCACUUCUGAAGAGCCGCAUGUGGCUCCAGAGCCACAGGUUGGCCACCCCUGAACUAACUGGAGCCCAGGCU